AAAAUUAAAUUGAAAACUCACAUUAGUUUUUGAAAGGGGAUUUGAAGAAGUUAUCAUGAUGAGGCUUCAUAUUUUUCUGGCUUUGCUCAUCAUGGCUUCAAUGUCAAAAGCUGAGUUAAUCAAUGCGGCCAAACCCCCUGUUGGUCCAACAACUUGUCCUGUGACUAAAAAUAGAUGUGAAGAUGUAUGCAAUGAGAGAUGCUCAGCUACAUCUCACAAAAAGGCCUGUUUGUUUUACUGCAAGCAUUGUUGUGAAUGGUGUAAAUGUGUUCCACCAGGAACUUUUGGCCAAAAAGAGUGUUGUUCUUGCUACAAUAAUUGGAAGACAAAAUUAGGAGGACCCAAGUGUCCGUGAAAUCAUUGUACAACAUUGGUGUUGGAUCAUUUUUAUGUUUCUUUGUUUUCUUGUUGAGAAGCGUUUUGUUAUGUGCUAAUUGGGGUGUGUUUGGUAGGGAAGAAAACGUUUUCUAUUUUU